rnacentral:rRNA from 1 species
UACAGAGGUCCCAAGCGUUGUUCGGAUUCACUGGGCGUAAAGGGUGCGUAGGCGGUCGGGUAAGUCUGACGUGAAAUCUUCAAGCUCAACUUGGAAACUGCGUCCGAUACUAUUCGGCUAGAGGAAUGGAGGGGAGACUGGAAUACUUGGCGUAGCAGUGAAAUGCGUAGAUAUCAAGUGGAACACCAGUGGCGAAGGCGAGUCUCUGGACAUUUCCUGACGCUGAGGCACGAAAGCCAGGGGAGCAAACGGG